rnacentral:rRNA from 1 species
AGAGUUUGAUCCUGGCUCAGGAUGAACGCUAGCGACAGGCUUAACACAUGCAAGUCGAGGGGCAGCACAGGUAGCAAUACCGGGUGGCGACCGGCGCACGGGUGAGUAACGCGUAUGCAACUUGCCUAUCAGAGGGGGAUAACCCGGCGAAAGUCGGACUAAUACCGCAUGAAGCAGGGAUCCCGCAUGGGAAUAUUUGCUAAAGAUUCAUCGCUGAUAGAUAGGCAUGCGUUCCAUUAGGCAGUUGGCGGGGUAACGGCCCACCAAACCGACGAUGGAUAGGGGUUCUGAGAGGAAGGUCCCCCACAUUGGUACUGAGACACGGACCAAACUCCUACGGGAGGCAGCAGUGAGGAAUAUUGGUCAAUGGCCGAGAGGCUGAACCAGCCAAGUCGCGUGAGGGAUGAAGGUUCUAUGGAUCGUAAACCUCUUUUAUAAGGGAAUAAAGUGCGGGACGUGUCCCGUUUUGUAUGUACCUUAUGAAUAAGGAUCGGCUAACUCCGUGCCAGCAGCCGCGGUAAUACGGAGGAUCCGAGCGUUAUCCGGAUUUAUUGGGUUUAAAGGGUGCGUAGGCGGCCUUUUAAGUCAGCGGUGAAAGUCUGUGGCUCAACCAUAGAAUUGCCGUUGAAACUGGGGGGCUUGAGUAUGUUUGAGGCAGGCGGAAUGCGUGGUGUAGCGGUGAAAUGCAUAGAUAUCACGCAGAACCCCGAUUGCGAAGGCAGCCUGCCAAGCCAUUACUGACGCUGAUGCACGAAAGCGUGGGGAUCAAACAGGAUUAGAUACCCUGGUAGUCCACGCAGUAAACGAUGAUCACUAGCUGUUUGCGAUACAUUGUAAGCGGCACAGCGAAAGCGUUAAGUGAUCCACCUGGGGAGUACGCCGGCAUUGCAUCAGCGUUAAAAGCGGCAAUGAAAGAAUAUACGAAACGGGAUCAGUCAAGAUAUGGUGAUAUGAAUAUCGCAAAAGUGGCAUAUCCGAAAUUUCAGGAGAAGCUGCAGGUCUGCAAGGAUUUACUGUAUGGAUUUGAUUUUAGUGGUUUUAUUGACGGAUCGCCGCUUACGAUGGCAAAACUUAUUACAGGCGGCGUCAAUUUUGUAUUGGAUGCAAAAGUACCGAAACGGAAAGAGCUGUUUUUG